AACGAACGCUGGCGGCAUGCCUAACACAUGCAAGUCGAACGAGACCUUCGGGUCUAGUGGCGCACGGGUGCGUAACGCGUGGGAACCUGCCCUUAGGUUCGGAAUAACUCCCCGAAAGGGGUGCUAAUACCGGAUAAUGUCUUCGGACCAAAGAUUUAUCGCCUUUGGAUGGGCCCGCGUUGGAUUAGCUAGUUGGUAGGGUAAAAGCCUACCAAGGCGACGAUCCAUAGCUGGUCUGAGAGGAUGAUCAGCCACACUGGGACUGAGACACGGCCCAGACUCCUACGGGAGGCAGCAGUGGGGAAUAGUGGACAAUGGGCGAAAGCCUGAUCCAGCAAUGCCGGGUGAGUGAUGAAGGCCUUAGGGUUGUAAAGCUCUUUUACCCGGGAUGAUAAGGACAGUACCGGGAAAAUAAGCCCCGGCGAACUCCGU
rnacentral:rRNA from 1 species